CGUCGGCAUUUCGAUUUAACCACUCCCUAGUGUAAGUUUUCAAAAUUUCGCUGGUGUAAACGGCUUUCCGUACCUUUUUAGAGAGAAAAUGGCCGACGAUUAAUGACAUUAGUUACUUUUUUUUGACAUUUGUUUGAUCGCCGUCUUAUAACAAGGUUCUGUGCUUACAAGGCGACGGCUUAUUAAUUAAGGGGCUCUUUUAUGUGGGUUAGAGCUUAGGGUACGCAUUUUCAGGGCACAUACACCGACAUUAUCAAACUGUGGAAUCGAAAGUGCAGUAUAAAUCUGCACUGCCACAAUUGAUGGUAUAAGCAGUUAACAGUUUACCAUCUCGUUAACAAAAGGUGGACAUCAAUAAAAUGGGCAAGUACGACUCAAAGGAUGGUGUACGAAGAAUGACCACAUGACUGGCAGUUUGUAUUAAUAUUUCCAUCAGUCUUAUUUGUGCUGCCAUGGACGAUACUGACUUAUGGCUUGGUUCUUCUGAAUCACAGAACUCUGGUGCUUGUACUAAUAAUGCGUCAUUAGAAGAUUUACACAUUUUAAUGAAAUGUUACCAGAACUGUUAUAAUUUAUAAGAAACUACAUGAAGUAUUUAAAGAGAUAAAGCGUGAAGCAAAAGCAAGUGAUGUAAAGAAGCAGAUCAAUUCACUAAGGUUGAAUCACAGGAGGGAAUUAAAUAAAAUGAAAUGUUCUAAAUGUGAUAGAAAGACAAUUCUCAAUGAACAUAAUUUAUAGGAACAUAAACAGUAGUCUCAACUGUUACAAAUCAGUGUAUUGUCAAAAACUUUAACAAUGGAAUAAAACAGGAACAACUAACUAAAACUCAUUAAUACAAUAAUUGUUAAAAGGUGUGACAUUUAUUUACUUAGCAAGGUAAAUUAAUCAUCUAUUACCUCUACAAUAAUUGUUUCUAUAUCAUUCUCUGCAUUCAUCCAUUCACACAUCUCAACAUCAUCUACACAAAGCUGCUGGCCUUCUCCAAUAUUGCCUUGUGUUUCAUUCAUACUGGUUUCAGGAUCCAUACUUACAUUUAAUGUUCUGUUGGCUAAUACAUCAUCCUGCAUAAUAUCACUUAUACUGUCAUCUUCAUCUGAACUUAAAUCAGAUUCACUAUCAGAUUCUCCAAGUGAUAUUAUGACAGGAGGAAUAUCUUUAACACUGGUAUUACCCAUCAUUCUUUGCCAAUCAUCCUUGAUAAUAUUUUCACAGUGGAUUACACUUGAUGUCCACAUCUCUGGUGUAUAUUUAGACAUAGCUUCAAUCCACAAGUGCUUGAUUUCUGAUUUUUUGGAAGACUGCUUCAAGAUGUGUUUGUUAUAAUAUGGUUUACAGAAUCCCCAUACCAUUUCUAUAGCAUUAUAGUGGCAGUGAUAUGGAGGUAAACGUAAAACUUCAAUAUUACUCUUUGACAACAACUCAUCAAUCUCAUAUUUACGAGUUGAUGGUAAAAGAGGUUUGAUAAUAUCCCAAAGCUGUUUUUUUGUCAAAUUAUCGCCAAAAGGAAUUUUUUUUUGUGCAAGCCAAAAUUUUAAUUUUGAUUUAAUCCAAGACAAACGAGGCAAUUGUUCUGCUAACACCGAAUGAUAAGGUGCAUUGUCCAUGAUGAUAACAACCUUACCGUUAAUAAAAUUAACAGAUGGAAUUAACUGUGUUUCCACCCAUUGCCUGAACAAUUGCCCGUUCAU